rnacentral:rRNA from 1 species
AGUGGAGCUUGCUCCACGGAUUAGUGGCGAACGGGUGAGGAACACGUGAGAAACCUGCCUCGGAUUUUGGGAUAACAAAUGGAAACGUUUGCUAAUACCAAAUAACGUCGGAGAGUCACAUGACUUUCUGACGAAAGGAAUUCCGAUUCGAGAGGGUCUCGCGGCCUAUCAGCUUGUUGGCGGGGUAAUGGCCCACCAAGGCAACGACGGGUAGCUGGUCUGAGAGGAUGGUCAGCCACACUGGGACUGAGACACGGCCCAGACUCCUACGGGAGGCAGCAGUGGGGAAUCUUGCGCAAUGGGCGAAAGCCUGACGCAGCAACGCCGCGUGCGGGAAGAAGGCUUUCGGGCUGUAAACCGCUUUCAGCAGGAACGAAAAUGACGGUACCUGCAGAAGAAGGAGCGGCCAACUAUGUGCCAGCAGCCGCGGUGAUACAUAGGCUUCAAGCGUUGUCCGGAUUUAUUGGGCGUAAAGAGUUCGUAGGCGGUCGAGUAAGUCGGGUGUGAAAAUUCUGGGCUCAACCCAGAGACGCCACCCGAUACUGCUUAACUUGAGUUCGAUAGGGGAGUGGGGAAUUCCUAGUGUAGCGGUGAAAUGCGCAGAUAUUAGGAGGAACACCGGUGGCGAAGGCGCCACUCUGGAUCGACACUGACGCUGAGGAACGAAAGCAUGGGUAGCAAACAGGAUUAGAUACCCUGGUAGUCCAUGCGGUAAACGGUGGGCACUAGGUGUGGGUUUUUAUUAACGAAAUCCGC